rnacentral:rRNA from 1 species
AUUCCAGCUCCAAUAGCGUAUAUUAAAGUUGUUGCAGUUAGAAAGCUCGUAGUUGAACUUUGGGCCUGGCAGGCCGGUCCGCUUUUUGGCGAGUACUGACCCUGCCGGGCCUUUCCUUCUGGCUAACCUCCCCUCUGGAGAGGCGAACCAGGACUUUUACUUUGAAAAAAUUAGAGUGUUCAAAGCAGGCCUUUGCUCGAAUAUAUUAGCAUGGAAUAAUAGAAUAGGACGUUUGGUUCUAUUUUGUUGGUUUCUAGGACCAUCGUAAUGAUUAAUAGGGACGGUCGGGGGCAUCAGUAUUCAGUUGUCAGAGGUGAAAUUCUUGGAUUUACUGAAGACUAACUACUGCGAAAGCAUUUGCCAAGGACGUUUUCAUCA